CUACGGGGUGCUCCAGUAAGGAAUAUUGCGCAAUGGAGGCAACUCUGACGCAGCCAUGCCGCGUGCAGGAAGAAGGCCUUAUGGGUCGUAAACUGCUUUUAUUUAGGAAUAAACCCCCGAACGUGUUCGGGGCUGAAGGUACUAAACGAAUAAGCACCGGCUAACUCCGGCCAGCAGCCGCGGUAAUACGGAGGGUGCAAGCGUUAUCCGGAUUUAUUGGGUUUAAAGGGUGCGCAGGCGGGCUAUUAAGUCAGUGGUGAAAUCCCGGGGCUCAACUCCGGAACUGCCAUUGAUACUGAUAGUCUUGAGUUUGGUUGAAGUGGGCGGAAUGUAGCAUGUAGCGGUGAAAUGCAUAGAUAUGCUACAGAACACCAAUCGCGAAGGCAGCUCACUAAGCCAAAACUGACGCUCAUGCACGAAAGCGUGGGGAUCAAACAGGAUUAGAUACCCCUGUAGUC
rnacentral:rRNA from 1 species